rnacentral:lncRNA from 1 species
GGAUUGGGGUGCAGGUAAAAGCUCCAGCAUCUGGGGUCAAGAAUCCUCAGCUCAGGGACUCAGAGCCCCAGGUAGCAGCAAGAAGCCUGAGCUUAGCCAUAAACUGCAAUUGUGCAGCACUUCCACAUACCUGGAGGUGGAAACUCUACUUCUCCCAGCAUUGUCGGCUUGACCCUCUCCAUGCCCCCUUCCGGUCCGCUGUGCAGUAUCCUUCACCCUGCAAGGUUGCUUUGAUGGAUGUGCCCCCACCUGGCCCAUACUAUGGAAGUGUUUAAAGUUUAUCUGCAGGGACUAUUCCAGGGAACAUUAGCAACAUUAAAUGGAGGAUCAAAUCUGACUUUUUCUGCCCCUCCAGAAGACAUACAACUUCCUAAAGGCUGCUCUUCAAGUGAGGAAAGGUGA